rnacentral:rRNA from 1 species
UACGUAGGGUGCAAGCGUUGUCCGGAAUUAUUGGGCGUAAAGAGCUUGUAGGCGGUUUGUCGCGUCUGCUGUGAAAUUUCGGGGCUCAACCCCGAACUUGCAGUGGGUACGGGUAGGCUAGAGUGUGGUAGGGGAGACUGGAAUUCCUGGUGUAGCGGUGAAAUGCGCAGAUAUCAGGAGGAACACCGAUGGCGAAGGCAGGUCUCUGGGCCAUAACUGACGCUGAGAAGCGAAAGCAUGGGGAGCGAACAGG